rnacentral:ribozyme from 1 species
AGGAGAAGAAAGAGAAGAAGGAAAAGAAGGAGAAAAAGAGCAAGAAGAGCAAACAUUGAUUAUGAUGAGUGUUAUGAUGCCAAGCUAGCUUCCUCCUUGUUUAUUCGUUCUGCAUCCUUCU